rnacentral:rRNA from 1 species
UACGUAGGGGGCAAGCGUUAUCCGGAUUUACUGGGUGUAAAGGGAGCGUAGACGGUUCUGCAAGCCAGAUGUGAAAGCCCGGGGCUCAACCCCGGGACUGCAUUUGGAACUGUAAGGCUAGAGUGUCGGAGAGGCAGGCGGAAUUCCUAGUGUAGCGGUGAAAUGCGUAGAUAUUAGGAGGAACACCAGUGGCGAAGGCGGUCUGCUGGACAGCAACUGACGGUGAGGCGCGAAAGCGUGGGGAGCAAACAGG